UUUGUUUCAGCCUUAGACGUGCUAAAAUUGGAAUGACAAAAAGAAGGUAUGAAUAGCCCCUGCUCAAGGGUGAUACACAAAAUCGAGAACUGCCCCAUAACCUU
rnacentral:snRNA from 1 species